AGGGGGGUUUGAUCAUGGGCUCAGGACGAACGCUGGCGGCGUGCUUAACACAUGCAAGUCGAACGGAAAGGCCCUGCUUUUGUGGGGUGCUCGAGUGGCGAACGGGUGAGUAACACGUGAGCAACCUGCCCUUGACUUUGGGAUAACUUCAGGAAACUGGGGCUAAUACCGGAUAGGAGCUCCUGCUGCAUGGUGGGGGUUGGAAAGUUUCGGCGGUUGGGGAUGGACUCGCGGCUUAUCAGCUUGUUGGUGGGGUAGUGGCUUACCAAGGCUUUGACGGGUAGCCGGCCUGAGAGGGUGACCGGCCACAUUGGGACUGAGAUACGGCCCAGACUCCUACGGGAGGCAGCAGUGGGGAAUAUUGCACAAUGGGCGGAAGCCUGAUGCAGCAACGCCGCGUGCGGGAUGACGGCCUUCGGGUUGUAAACCGCUUUCGCCUGUGACGAAGCGUGAGUGACGGUAAUGGGUAAAGAAGCACCGGCUAACUACGUGCCAGCAGCCGCGGUGAUACGUAGGGUGCGAGCGUUGUCCGGAU
rnacentral:rRNA from 1 species